UGUUCUAUGGUGUAAUGGUGAGCACUCUGGACUCUGAAUCCAGCGAUCCGAGUUCGAGUCUCGGUAGAACCU
rnacentral:tRNA from 1 species